rnacentral:rRNA from 1 species
GUGGGGAAUCUUCCGCAAUGGGCGAAAGCCUGACGGAGCAACGCCGCGUGAGUGAAGAAGGUCUUCGGAUCGUAAAGCUCUGUUGUCGGGGACGAAGGGGCAGAUCAGGAAAUGGGUCUGCUUAGACGGUACCUGACGAGGAAGCCACGGCUAACUACGUGCCAGCAGCCGCGGUAAUACGUAGGCGGCAAGCGUUGUCCGGAAUCAUUGGGCGUAAAGGGAGCGCAGGUGGGACGGUAAGUCUUUCUUAAAAGUGCGGGGCUCACCCCCGUGAGGGGAAAGAAACUAUCGUUCUUGAGUGCAGGAGAGGAAAGCGGAAUUCCUAGUGUAGCGGUGAAAUGCGUAGAUAUUAGGAAGAACACCAGUGGCGAAGGCGGCUUUCUGGACUGUAACUGACACUGAGGCUCGAAAGCCAGGGGAGCGAACGGG